CCAUGCUGUUCUUGUGAUAGUGACUGAAUUCUCAGGAUACCUGAUGGUUUUGUAAGUGUUUGACAGUUCCUCCCUCACAUACUCUCCCUCUUCUGCUGCCUUGUGAAAAAGAUGCCUGCUUCCCCUUCUGCAAAGAUUGUUAAGUUACCUGAGGCCUCCCAGCCAUGUGAAACUAAACGAAAAGCAGAAUACUGAAAGAAUACACCUGUUUUGAAGUCUGAUAAAUAACCCUCAUCUAUUCAAGAUCCAGAACAAAGGAACUCUUUCCUAGCCAUGACAGAACACACUGCUGAAUCACCAUCAAGAGUUCCUGGAUUGAAUGUGACAUUAUUUGGAGACAGCUGUCAUAUGCCCUAAAGGAAUAAGGUUUCCUGAGGCCUCUUCAGCAAUGCAUACUGCUGUUAGGCAGAAGAGGCUUUCCUUUUCUUAGAUGAGGCUUUGGACUUGGACCUUUGGUUAAUGCUGAAAUGAGUUAAGAUUUUGAAGGACUGUUGGGAAGGCAUGAUUGGUUUUGAAAUGUGAAAAGUACAUUAUGUUUGGGAGAGCCCAGGGGUAGAAUGAUAUGGCUUGGCUCUGUGUCCCCAACCAAAUGUCAUCUCAAAGUGUAAUCUCCAUGUGUUAAGGCAGGGACCAGGUAGGAGGUGAUUGGAUUAUGAGGGUGGUAUCCCCCCUGCUGUUCUUGUGAUAGUGUGGGAGUUCUCAUGAGAUCUGAUGGUUUAAAAGUUUCUCCUGUGCUUUCUCCUUUUCUCCUGCUGCCAUGUGAGAUGUGCAUUGCUUCCCCUUUGCCUUCAGCCAUGAUUAUAAGUUUCCUGAGGCUUCUCCAGUCAUGUGUAACUGUGAGUCAAUAAAAUCUCUUUUAUAUUUAUAAAUUAC
rnacentral:lncRNA from 1 species